GACGAACGCUGGCGGCGUGCUUAACACAUGCAAGUCGAACGGAAAGGCCCUGCUUUUGUGGGGUGCUCGAGUGGCGAACGGGUGAGUAACACGUGAGUUACCUGCCCUUGACUUUGGGAUAACUUCAGGAAACUGGGGCUAAUACCGGAUAGGAGCUCCUGCUGCAUGGUGGGGGUUGGAAAGUUUCGGCGGUUGGGGAUGGACUCGCGGCUUAUCAGCUUGUUGGUGGGGUAGUGGCUUACCAAGGCUUUGACGGGUAGCCGGCCUGAGAGGGUGACCGGCCACAUUGGGACUGAGAUACGGCCCAGACUCCUACGGGAGGCAGCAGUGGGGAAUAUUGCACAAUGGGCGGAAGCCUGAUGCAGCAACGCCGCGUGCGGGAUGACGGCCUUCGGGUUGUAAACCGCUUUCGCCUGUGACGAAGCGUGAGUGACGGUAAUGGGUAAAGAAGCACCGGCUAACUACGU
rnacentral:rRNA from 1 species